UACGGGGGGAGCAAGCGUUGUUCGGAUUUACUGGGCGUAAAGGGCGCGUAGGCGGUCAGCACAAGUCAGUUGUGAAAUCUCCGGGCUUAACUCGGAAAGGUCAACUGAUACUGUGCGACUAGAGUGCGGAAGGGGCAACUGGAAUUCUCGGUAUAGCGGUGAAAUGCGUAGAUAUCGAGAGGAACACCUGCGGCGAAGGCGGGUUGCUGGGCCGACACUGACGCUGAUGCGCGAAAGCCAGGGGAGCGAACGGG
rnacentral:rRNA from 1 species